AAAUAAGAAGUAAACUCCAUUACAUUUAAUUUCGACUUAAAAAUUUGAUUAAAAAUAAUCCUUAUUUA
rnacentral:tRNA from 1 species